UGUGUUGUGAGAACUGAAAUAAAACUAGACCAGAAGAGUAUGUACUGCACUGUCUAAUCAGUAUUUCAACCUCCGGUGUUUAACGUGGAUCUCUUGUGCCAGACUUUUCCAUAAGAGGAAACGUGUUCUCCACAUUCAGCUUGUCCAUACCCCUCAGGAUCUGUGUGUUCUAUCAAGGUGUCUCUUACUGGAUAAUACCACUGAUCAUCAUCACCUUCUUCACUGUUCUAAACUCCAGCAGACACAGACCUAGCCUGUCCAAAGUUUCCUCAUACGACAAUGCACCGAUUCCAGGGUGUUCUUCGAGGAAACCACCUCCAAAGGGAUUCAUAGUUAAGAGAUGAGAAAGAGUAGGCACCGAGGAGGAAUGGGAAUUGAACACUUGAGAUGUGCAGACAAAGGCAAGUGACAAUGCCGAAAAGAUUUGGUCAUUAAGCUUGAGGAACAACCUAAAUCGUUAUGGUGCUGAAAUUCUCUCUAUCACUUCACCACAAGGAACGGAACAGAACGCACAUACAGACACAGAGAGAACUGUUGAGAGCAAGUUGUCAUUUGAAGUUGAAGUUGCAUUCCCAUAAAUCACAACUUGAAGUGAAGUGCUAACACACUGUGGAGCUGCAGGAAGACAGCAGGCCAGACAGCAUCAGAAGAGCAGGAAAGUUGUUGUUUCAGGUCGGGACCCUUCUUCAGAAACGGCCCGAUGUUCCUCCAGCUCCACACUGUGUUAUCUCUGACUCCAGCAUCAGCAGUUCUUACUAUCUUUAAGUGAAGUGUAUCUUCUCUCGGAAUCAAAGUUAAAGCCAGAGUUUUGUUCCUUCAGACAUUUCUCACCAGAAAAUAAAAACCAACCUAAAAACCGA